rnacentral:rRNA from 1 species
GCGACCUCAGCUCAGCCGAGAACACUUUCUGAGUAGAAGCAUAUAAUUAAGUGGAGGAAAACGAACUUACAAGGAUUCCCCUAGUAGCGGUGAGUGAAACGGGAAGAUCCCAACAUGAAAAUCGGGCGUUAGCGGUGCCUGAAUUAUAGUUUGUAGAAGUGUCCUCAACGGUGGACUAGGGCCAAGUCCCUUGGAAGUGGGCAAUUGAGAGGGUGGCAGCCCUAUUGGAUUAGAACCCUCCUGCAUCAUGAGGAAUUAUCAACGAGUUAGGUUUUUUGGGAAUGCAACCAUAAUUGGGUGGUAAAUUCUGUCUAAGGCGAAAUACGGGCUAGAGACUGAUAGCGAAUAGCUGCAGUGAAGGAAUGAUGAAAAUCAAUUUGAAAAGAGAGUUAAAUAGUGCUUGAAAUUGUAGGGAGGGAAGUAGAUGGAGGUUGUUGAUGCAUCUGGGUCAGAUGUGGAACAACUUAGGUUGGUUCGCAGCUCAACUUGAGGUGAAAACCAACACAGGUUGUUGCAUUGUCACAAGCGCGAGUGGAUUACUACCUAUCAGUUUACCAUUUCAGUGGUCGAGGAAUAAAGCGUGCACACUUGUGGUGGUCUAUGUGCACCUACACACUCGUGGUGUUGAUUGGCGGGCUUUCCAUUCGACCUAUCUUGAAACACAGACCAACGAGUCUAUCAUGUGUAUGAGUUGGUAGGUUUAAAAACCUCCGAGGCGCAAGGAAGAUGAAGGGCAAGAUCCCCUCUCUGGGGGGGUGCAUCAUUGACCAACCUUGAGUUUAUGAGAAGGGUUCUAGUGCGAGCACACCUGUUGGGACCCAGAAGUUGGUGAACUAUGCAUGAGGAGGGCGAAGCCAGAGGAAACCCUGGUGGAGGCUCCUAGCAAUACUGACAUGAAAAUCAUUCAUCUGACUUGGGUAUAGGGGCAAAAGACUAAUCGAACCAUCUAGUAUCUAGUUUCCUUCGAAGUUUCCCUCAGGAUAACUAGUGCUCACAUGUGAGUUUUAUCAGGCAAAUCAAAUGAUUAGAGUCAUCGAGGGUGUAAUUCCCUUAAUCUAUUCUCAAACUUUAAAUAGGUAAGAGGGUGUGGCUGCUCCAUUGAGUCGUGCCAUGGAAUCGAGAUCUCCAAGUGGGCCAUUUUUGGUAAGUAGAAAUGGAGAUGCAGGAUGAACCAAAAGUCAAGUUACGGUGCCAAAUUACACGCUAACCUAGAUCCCACAAAGGUUGUUGGUUGAUUAAUAUAGAAGGAUAAUGGUCAUGGAAGUUGAAAUCUACUAAGGAGUGUGUAACAACUCACCUGCUAAAUCAACUAGCCCCAAAAAUGGAUGGUGUCGAAGUGCGCAACCUAUGCUCAACCAUAGGAGAAAUUGCCUAGCUUCAAUGAGUAGGAGGACAUGGGGGUCGUUGAGAAACCUUGGGCAUGAGCUUGGGUGGAUCAGCCCCUGAUGCAGAUCUUGGUGGUAGUAGCAAAUAUUCAAAUGAGAAGUUUGAAGACUAAAGUGGGGAAAGGUUCCAUGUGAACAACACUUGGACAUGGGUUAGUCGAUCCUAAGAGAUGGGGAAGCCUUGUAUCAAGGGUGCACACUACAUGAGCAUCGAAAGGGAAUCAGGUUAAUAUUGCUGAACCAGGACAUGGCGAUGGGUGGAAACGUUAGGAAAUUUGGAGAUCUUGUCGGGGGCCUCGAGAAGAGUUAUAUUUUAUUUUUAAUAGCUUGCCCACCCUAGAAUCGAUUCACCUGGAGAUAGGGUCCAAUAGUUGGAAGAACACCGCAUGUAUUGCCAUGUACAGUGCACCCUCAGUGACCCUUGAAAAUCUAGAGGAUCAAGCAUCGUUCAUGCCUGGUCAUAGUCAUAACCACAUCAGUUCUCCAAGGUGAACAACCUAUGGUUAAUAGAAUAAUGUAGGUAAGGGAACUCGGCAAAAUGGAUCCGUAACUUUGGGAAAAGGAAUGGCUCUGAGGGCUGGGCCUAGAGGUCUGUGCCUAGAGUUCGCGGCAAGACCAGGCAGUCGCGUGCCAAUUGGCCUAUGUGCAUAGAAUGCCACCUACUAGGGGCUUUUCCCUAGGUGGUGAAUAGUCGACUUAGAACUGGUACAGACAAGGGGAAUCUUACUGUUUAAUUAAAACAAAACAUUGUGAUGGUCCCUGCGUAUGCUGACGCAAUGUGACUUCUUCAUAGUGCUUUGAAUGUCAAAGUGAAGAAAUUCAACCAAGCACGGGUAAAUGGUGGGAAUAACUAUGUCUCUUUUAAGGUAUUCAAAUGCCUCAUCAUCUAAUUAGUGAUGCACAUGAUUGUGAAAUGACUUGAGAGGUGUAGAAUAAGUGAGACCCAUUUUUAGUGCAAGUGAAAUAACACUACUUUUAACAUUAUUUUACUUAUUCUGUGGGGCAUAGAUGGGGCACUGCUCAUGUUUUUGGCCUUAAGGCACGUUUCAGCGGGUCAGUCCAGGGGGAAGACGUUGUCUGGUGGGGAGUUUGGCUGGGGUAGAACAUUUGUUAAAAGAUAACACAGGUCUUCUAUGAUGAGCUCAAUGGGAACAGAAAUCCUAUGUGGAACAAAAGGGUAAAAGCUCAUCUGAUUUUGAUUUUCAGUACAAAUACAAACUAUGAAAGCAUGGCAUAUUGAUCCUUUGGAUUUUUGAAAUUUCAAGCUAGAGGUGUCAGAAAAGUUACCACAAGGAUAACUGGCUUGUGGUAGCCAAGCAUUCAUAGAAACAUUGCUUUUUGAUCCUUCGAUGUCAGCUCUUCCUAUCAUUGUGAAGUAGAAUUCACCAAGUGUUGGAUUGUUCACCCACUAAUAAGGAAUGUGAGCUAGGUUUAGACCAUCGUGAGACAAGUUACUUUUACCCUCUUGAUGAACCACACUGCAAUAGUAAUUCAACCUAAUACGAGAGGAACCACCGAUUCACACAAUUUGUCAUCGCGCUUGGUAGAAAAGACAGUGGCAUGAAGCUACCAUGUGUCAGAUUAUGACUGAACACCUCUAAGUCAAAAUCCACGCUAGAAGUGGUGCAUGUCACUCUUCGACUGUAUCUUGACCCACAAUAGGGGAAUCACUUUGUCACCCCCGUGGGCCUGUGUCAUUUCUAAACUUUGACUGUGAAGAAUCUCAGUCAGGGUAGCUUUGAAGUUCAAUUACAAAUGGUCAUUGAGAAGAAUCCUUUGCAGACGACUUAAAUACAUGACGGGGUAUUGUAAGUUUGAAAGUGGUCUUGCUUCCACGAUCCACUAAGAUUUAGC